AUACGUAGGUGACAAGCGUUAUCCGGAUUUACUGGGCGUAAAGGGCGUGUAGGCGGUCUUGCAAGUCAGAAGUGAAAUUCCUGAGCUCAACUCGGGCGCUGCUUCUGAAACUGCAGGACUUGAGUGCUGGAGGGGAUAGCGGAAUUCCUAGUGGAGCGUUAAAAUGCGCAGAUAUUAGGAGGAACACCGGUGGCGAAGGCGGCUAGCUGGACAGUAACUGACGCUGAGGAGCGAAAGCACGGGGAGCAAACAGGAUUAGAUACCCUGGUAGUCCGUGCCGUAAACGAUGAAUACUAGGUGUAGGAGGUAUCGACUCCCUCUGUGCCGCAGUUAACACAUUAAGUAUUCCACCUGGGGAGUACGGCCGCAAGGUUGAAACUCAAAUGAAUUGACGGGG
rnacentral:rRNA from 1 species